UGAGUGCAGGCUGUCACAUACAAAGCUCUGACAUUGUCUCUGACCCUGUUUUCUGUUUCCAUUAGUAUUUUAGGAACAGGCAUGGGACUGGCAUGUGUCACUUUUUGGUUUGUCCUGUUGUAAAGAGAUCUUAGGGAAGAGAAAGGGGCAGGUGCUCUGGGGGUUUGGACAGACUCAACACCUAUUGGUGUCUGACCCCAGUGGGAAUGGAGGUAUGAGCUGGUAAGGCAGCCUUGCAACAAGACUUUUAUACAUAAGUAUAAUUAUGUAUUAAUUAUAAUGCCUUAUAAUUAAAGGCAUUCCCUCAAGUACUUUUGCAUGAGUAUCUCAGGAGAAGAGUAGGUAAAACAAUGCAUUAGCUUUCAAAGUAAGUUGUCCAAGUCUGGUUUUGACUGGAUGUCCCGUCAUAGCUGUAUUGCCAGAGGACAAGUGUCCUCUUCCCUACCACAUUUACUAUAUUUUGCCUAUUUGCCCCUCAGAUUUUGCUAUGAAAGCAGCAGUGGCUACCAGGAGUGUCUGCUCCCCCCUGCCAACACCUCCUGACUGCUCAAUGGUUCACCACUGAGUUUCAUGCAUGAGCAAUAAGGACUCAGAGUGUUUUUCAUCCAGGAGCUGCUGCCCACAUGGGAUGGCAAUAUGCUGUCACCAUCAGUGCACCUGCACGGAGGACAGAAGAAGAGCAGCUCCCUUCUGUGAGUCACCGUGCUCCCAUCUGAAACAUUGGGUAAUAUUAGCAAGGAGUCUCGUAAGUAUGCCUUUCCUCCAUCUGGCAGUUUGAUC
rnacentral:lncRNA from 1 species